rnacentral:rRNA from 1 species
UACGUAGGCAGCAAGCGUUGUUCGGAAUUACUGGGCGUAAAGAGUGUGUAGGCGGUGCUCCAAGUCUGGUGUGAAAUCUCCCGGCUUAACUGGAGGGUGCAUUAGAAACUGGAAUGCUAGAGGUUGGGAGAGGUAAGCGGAACUCCUGGUGUAGCGGUGAAAUGCGUAGAUAUCAGGAGGAACACCUGUGGUGUAGACAGCUUACUGGACCAUUCUGACGCUGAGACACGAAAGCGUGGGUAGCAAACAGG